CGAGCUAAUGCCGGAUGUGACGAUUGGAAGGCAUCUUCUGAUCUUCAAAGUUGGGGACCGUAAGGCCUGACGCUUCAUGAUGAGCCCGCGGACUAUCAGCUAGUUGGUGAGGUAACGGCUCACCAAGGCUAAGACGGGUAACUGGUCUG
rnacentral:rRNA from 1 species